GACGAACGCUGGCGGCGUGCCUAAUACAUGCAAGUAGAACGCUGAAGGAGGAGCUUGCUCUUCUGGAAGAGUUGCGAACGGGUGAGUAACGCGUAGGUAACCUGCCUGGUAGCGGGGGAUAACUAUUGGAAACGAUAGCUAAUACCGCAUAAGAUUGAAUAUCGCAUGAUAAUUGAUUAAAAGAUGCAUAUGCAUCACUACCAGAUGGACCUGCGUUGUAUUAGCUAGUAGGUGAGGUAACGGCUCACCUAGGCGACGAUACAUAGCCGACCUGAGAGGGUGAUCGGCCACACUGGGACUGAGACACGGCCCAGACUCCUACGGGAGGCAGCAGUAGGGAAUCUUCGGCAAUGGGGGCAACCUUGACCGAGCAACGCCGCGUGAGUGAAGAAGGUUUUCGGAUCGUAAAGCUCUGUUGUAAGAGAAGAACGAGUGUGAGAGUGGAAAGUUCACACUGUGACGGUAUCUUACCAGAAAGGGACGGCUAACUACGUGCCAGCAGCCGCGGUAAUACGUAGGUCCCGAGCGUUGUCCGGAUUUAUUGGGCGUAAAGCGAGCGCAGGCGGUUAGAUGAGUCUGAAGUUAAAGGCUGUGGCUUAACCAUAGUACGCUUUGGAAACUGUUUAACUUGAGUGCAGAAGGGGAGAGUGGAAUUCCAUGUGUAGCGGUGAAAUGCGUAGAUAUAUGGAGGAACACCGGUGGCGAAAGCGGCUCUCUGGUCUGUAACUGACGCUGAGGCUCGAAAGCGUGGGGAGCGAACAGGAUUAGAUACCCUGGUAGUCCACGCCGUAAACGAUGAGUGCUAGGUGUUAGGCCCUU
rnacentral:rRNA from 1 species